rnacentral:ncRNA from 1 species
UUUUGUCGAAGGAUAGACCUUAAUUCACAAAUA